rnacentral:rRNA from 1 species
UGGGGAAUAUUGCACAAUGGGCGCAAGCCUGAUGAAGCCAUGCCGCGUGUGUGAAGAAGGCCUUCGGGUUGUAAAGCACUUUAAGCGGGGCGGAAGGCGAUAAGGUUAAUAACCUUGUCGAUUGACGUUACCCGCAGAAGAAGCACCGGCUAACUCCGUGCCAGCAGCCGCGGUAAUACGGAGGGUGCAAGCGUUAAUCGGAAUUACUGGGCGUAAAGCGCACGCAGGCGGUCUGUCAAGUCGGAUGUGAAAUCCCCGGGCUUAACCUGGGAACUGCAUUCGAAACUGGCAGGCUAGAGGCUUGUAGAGGGGGGUAGAAUUCCAGGUGUAGCGGUGAAAUGCGUAGAGAUCUGGAGGAAUACCGGGGGCGAAGGCGGCCCCCUGGACAAAGACUGACGCUCAGGUGCGAAAGCGUGGGGAGCAAACAGG